UUAUACAUGCAAGUCGAGCGGCAAGGUCUUCGGACCCUAGAGCGGCGCACGGGUGAGUAACGCGUACGCAAUCUGCCCUUCAGUGAGGAAUAGCCCUGGGAAACUGGGAUUAAUACCUCAUAAUAUUAUCUGUUCGCAUGGAUGGAUAAUUAAAGUUCUGGCGCUGAAGGAUGGGCGUGCGUCUGAUUAGCUUGUUGGUAGGGUAACGGCCUACCAAGGCUACGAUCAGUAGGGGGCGUGAGAGCGUGACCCCCCACACGGGUACUGAGACACGGACCCGACUCCUACGGGAGGCAGCAGUAAGGAAUAUUGGGCAAUGGAGGCAACUCUGACCCAGCCAUCCCGCGUGAAGGAUGAAGGCGCUCAGCGUUGUAAACUUCUUUUGUUUGGGAAGAAAUCUGGACAUUUAUGUGCAGUUGACGGUACCUUACGAAUAAGCACCGGCUAACUCCGUGCCAGCAGCCGCGGUAAUACGGAGGGUGCAAGCGUUAUCCGGAAUCACUGGGUUUAAAGGGUGCGUAGGCGGUUUGAUAAGUCAGAGGUGAAAGCUAGCAGCUUAACUGUUAAAUUGCCUUUGAUACUGUCAGACUUGAAUCAGGUUGAGGUAGGCGGAAUGUGACAUGUAGCGGUGAAAUGCAUAGAUAUGUCAUAGAACACCAAUUGCGUAGGCAGCUUGCUGGGCUUGAAUUGACGCUGAGGCACGAAAGCGUGGGGAUCAAACAGGAUUAGAUACCCUGGUAGUCCACGCCCUAAACGAUGUUAACUCGAUAUUUAUUCUUCGGAGUGAGUGUCCAAGCGAAAGCGUUAAGUUAACCACCUGGGGAGUACGUUCGCAAGAAUGAAACUCAAAUGAAUUGACGGAAGGGCGAAUUCU
rnacentral:rRNA from 1 species